GACGAACGCUGGCGGCGUGCCUAAUACAUGCAAGUCGAACGCUUUUUCUUUCACCGGAGCUUGCUCCACCGAAAGAAAAAGAGUGGCGAACGGGUGAGUAACACGUGGGUAACCUGCCCAUCAGAAGGGGAUAACACUUGGAAACAGGUGCUAAUACCGUAUAACAAGUAAAACCGCAUGGUUUUACUUUGAAAGGCGCUUUUGCGUCACUGAUGGAUGGACCCGCGGUGCAUUAGCUAGUUGGUGAGGUAACGGCUCACCAAGGCAACGAUGCAUAGCCGACCUGAGAGGGUGAUCGGCCACAUUGGGACUGAGACACGGCCCAAACUCCUACGGGAGGCAGCAGUAGGGAAUCUUCGGCAAUGGACGAAAGUCUGACCGAGCAACGCCGCGUGAGUGAAGAAGGUUUUCGGAUCGUAAAACUCUGUUGUUAGAGAAGAACAAGGAUGAGAGUAAAAUGUUCAUCCCUUGACGGUAUCUAACCAGAAAGCCACGGCUAACUACGUGCCAGCAGCCGCGGUAAUACGUAGGUGGCAAGCGUUGUCCGGAUUUAUUGGGCGUAAAGCGAGCGCAGGCGGUUUCUUAAGUCUGAUGUGAAAGCCCCCGGCUCAACCGGGGAGGGUCAUUGGAAACUGGGAAACUUGAGUGCAGAAGAGGAGAGUGGAAUUCCAUGUGUAGCGGUGAAAUGCGUAGAUAUAUGGAGGAACACCAGUGGCGAAGGCGGCUCUCUGGUCUGUAACUGACGCUGAGGCUCGAAAGCGUGGGGAGCAAACAGG
rnacentral:rRNA from 1 species